rnacentral:rRNA from 1 species
GAUGAACGCUGGCGGCGUGCCUAAUACAUGCAAGUCGAGCGAACAGACGAGGAGCUUGCUCCUCUGACGUUAGCGGCGGACGGGUGAGUAACACGUGGAUAACCUACCUAUAAGACUGGGAGAACUUCGGGAAACCGGAGCUAAUACCGGAUAAUAUAUUGAACCGCAUGGUUCAAUAGUGAAAGACGGUUUUGCUGUCACUUAUAGAUGGAUCCGCGCCGCAUUAGCUAGUUGGUAAGGUAACGGCUUACCAAGGCAACGAUGCGUAGCCGACCUGAGAGGGUGAUCGGCCACACUGGAACUGAGACACGGUCCAGACUCCUACGGGAGGCAGCAGUAGGGAAUCUUCCGCAAUGGGCGAAAGCUUGACGGAGCAACGCCGCGUGAGUGAUGAAGGUCUUCGGAUCGUAAAACUCUGUUAUUAGGGAAGAACAAAUGUGUAAGUAACUAUGCACGUCUUGACGGUACCUAAUCAGAAAGCCACGGCUAACUACGUG